UCAAGCAGCCAUAUCACCCUGCAAUUCACAACUGGCAACCCAACUGGAGUUAAGCAGGUGUGAGACUGGUCAGUACCUGGAGGUGAGACCUCCUGGGAAAAACUAAGGUUGCUGCUGGAA
rnacentral:rRNA from 1 species